AUAAUGCUAUUAAGACCGGAUAUUUGAAUAUUCAUAACUUUAAAGAAAAAGAUACCAACUAAGAAUUGGAUGCGCACAUUUGGCAGUUGAAGUAUUUUAAAUGAUUUACUUCGAUUCAUAAUUAUAUAUAAAAUUGUCGUUUAGUUAUGUCCUAAUACCAAUACACAAUUACUAAGUACACUCAACAGCGGAAUACUUAAUAUUAAGCAUUUAUAGUAAAUAUACUCAAAUAGGUUGUCUCUCUUUGCUGGUUUAAGUGUAUUAUUUUCAGAAGUUUACAAAGCGUAAACAGUCUGUGUAAUUUAUACUCGUUUGGUGUUCAUUCAUGGUAAACUUCCGUGUCAAAUUGUCUUCAAUAGGCGAUUCUUAAAGAACACCAAGUUCUGACGACACAAGACAAGGCGAAGUGGGUCGAAUUUGAUGAUAUUUUCUGUUGCAAGAUACAUACAAAGCAGAGUCUUGCUUAUUUCUGUGAAGAGCAUGAUGUCGUUUGCUGUCCGAAGUGCGUUUCUAUUGAUCAUGGGUGUUGCAGGAAAAUCGUAAAUUUGUCAUCGUUAGCCAGCGGAAUCAGGACUAAAGAUGAAUUUACAGAUGGCAUUCUUGAAGUAAAUAGGACACAGUUAAAAUUGCGAAGUACUCAAGAAGAAAAGAACGACACAAAAAGCUCUACGCAAAACAUCGGACGAAUUUGUUGCAAAGAUCAGGACUUUGCGAAAGGAUAUUGACAAUGUCCUUGACAAAAUGGAAGCAGAUACACUUCAACAAGUAAGCACAGCUGAGAAACAUGUGUGUGAAUUACUUCGGUGUGACAGGAGGAGUUGAAUGAUUACGAUGAGCGAUUAGAAAUUUUACUAAACAAAAUAUCAGAAAAGUAUGGCGACAGCGAUACUGCGACAUGUUUGGCAUUUCGACAGUGCAUUGAUGAAAUGAAACAAGCUCAGAUUAGUUUAGAAGAGGAUGCACUAACACCAUCAUAUUCAAUGGCACUGACACUGAACUCGGAUAUCCACACACGGCUCUCUGCGGAGAAAGCGUUUGCAGAUGUUAAAACCACUGCCACUAGAGUCAGGCAGAUACAUAUAAAAUGCCCCGAUGACAAGAACACAUGCAAUAUAACUGGUAUUUGUGAGCUUAAAACCGGAGGAAUUAUUAUUGCUGAUGGUGGAAACAGUUCGUUGAAGCUACUGAACACAUACAAAGAAAUAGUAUGCACUUACCGACUUCAACCAUAUUUAAAGGACAUUUGUAAAGUAGGACAAAGCGAAAUUGCUGUUGCACUAAACAACGAAAAUUUAUACAAAACACUUCAUGAGAUAUGAUUUUUUGAUUGUACGGACACAUCUAUUAUACCCACAAAGGCGUUCAAUGUAGACCACAGCUGUUCAUCAUUACAGUAUGCCAGUGAACAACUGUAUAUGACAACAGGCAAUGCCCUUUAUGUCUAUAAUCUGACUGGUACACUGCAGAAGAAAAUAUUUGAAGAUGAAUCAGGUCGGCACACGGUAGACAGACUGGCUGUAACAGCAGAUGGCUGUAAAAUUUACGUCACAAACUACAAGCAAAACAAAGUUGUGUGUCUUGACAAAGACGGACGUAUACUUAAAACAAUAGAAGAGGAAUAUCUAAACGGCCCAGAAGGAGUCUGUGUAGACAAGCAAGGUAGACUGUACAUCUGUGGACACGAUUCCAACAACGUCAUUAAACACGACCACAGAGAGGAAUUUGGAGUAGAAGUUUUAGGCGCCACUUUACUUCAACCAAGAACGGUUUGUGUGAGUGUAACUGAAAAACUAUAUGUUGGAUUAAGCAGGUGUGACAAUUUAUUGGUUAUUUUAUUUGAGUAGACACUUUGAAGGUUCAUGUAACUGAAACAAUUAGUCUUGGAAUAAACAUAUUGCGACAAGUUGUUGAUUCCUCAGUAAAAAGUGGGGAAUGUUUAUUAUGUUUUUGAAAUGUUGUAUCUUAGGUAAUGCAUAUACGACAUGUGUUAGAUUGUGUAAUUUCAAUUGACACAUCCAAGUUUAUGAGACUAAAACACUGUGGAACACCUUUGAUUAAGCAGAUGUGGUAAGAUAUUGGUUGUUUUAUUUCAGUAGUUUUGUUUUGCUAUGAAAUGGAUUGAUAUAUCAUGGUUGGAAAAAUGUGAUGUUAAGUUAUCAUAAACCAGUUUCAACCCUAGUGAUCCUCCUGUUUCACUAAAUGUUUCAAGGUGGUCGCGAAUAUAACCAGAAACAUUUAUCACUAAAAAGUUGGGCUUCUAAGCUUGUCCAUGUAGAUUCCAUUGUACUCGUAUAAUGUGCAUGCGACAAAGAAAUGUCAGUACUGAUCCCUUAUGUUUAGCUUGUCAAUGUUGAAUGUUUUUGUAAGUCAAACAUAAGGUAUUGUACUGACCUUGCAGGUAAAUUCAAUUGUGAUGCAUUUGGUGUGCUUCUGAAUAAAACUGUUGAGAGCCUGGGGGUUCGUCUCUUUCAGAAUUCUAACAGCAUAUUUGUAUUUAGGACAUAUUUACAACAGUAGUACUAACUCGCUCCUUAGUGCUGUAGGAAAGCUUGUGCUGGAUUUAUUUAUGUUGCAAUUUGUUUGAGAUGGAGGCCAUUUCAGAUUUAAAUUGAUUGGACUACCUAUGAUAAUAAUUGAUGAAACGGGUCUUAGAUAGUUUAUAGGAAUAUUUUGUAUUGUACUCGUAACUGCACUGCAACGGAUUGAUGAAACUAUAUGUACAUAACCACUUAUAUAUAUAAAUCAAAUAUACAUUAAGUGCUUGUGUUGUGCAAAUUUGAUGAAUUAUUCAACAGUUUAGGGAAGAAAGUGUACUAAGUAUAUGAAUGUUUAAGUAAUAGUGUUGUUCAAAAUAACAGAUGACUUUGCUUGUUUAUACAACAUAGCC